rnacentral:lncRNA from 1 species
CUCUCCUCCAGUACCUGUUUCUCCGGGAGGUUCGCACGCUGUUCUCGACGGCUCGCGGUUGCGGCUCGCGGAGGAAACGGGCCUCGCCGAGGAGCUGGCUGGCAGUGACAGGCUACUUGCUCUUUCCUGUAACCACGUACGCAUCCAUGUAAACCAGCUGCUUCCAUCCCUGGGACUGCAAUUCCUCCCGUUUGCCUUCUGUCACGCUGCCGCGUUACAUUUUUGUUUUCCAAGGCGGCCUCGUUCGGCUGACGUUAAAGGCAAAAAUGCACCGGGAACGGGGCAGCGCCGAGGCCGGGCUUCCAGCGCAGCCGGUGCCGGCGGUCGAGGGAUGCCGAAAGCAUCCGAGCUGGGAUCACGGUAGGCCCGAUAACGCGGGUGGGAAAUGGCCGGGGGACAUUCCGAAGCCUUGGC